GCUCCACGGCGGCGACAGUCUCCUCGUUGUACUCACGGUCACCGAGCCUACCGUCGACGAGCCCCGCCACCAUGUUGAUGGUCGACGAACCCUAACCUCCCAUCCACAAACUUGUCGUCGACGAGACACGCCCUAGAUCUCAUCAAAGUUGUUACUGUCAAGCUCAUCAAAGCAGAUAACGGUACAAUUGGAGUUGACAGGAGUAGAGAUGUCAAUGGGGACCCGAUACCCGCCAACCCGUGGGGAAUUCCCCUAUUAGGGUACGGGUAUGAGACGAAAAUUGUCCCCAUGGGUACGGAUAUGAGACAAAAUCUCCACCCAUUGGGUAAACGGGUAUGGGUUUGGGAAGCAAUAAUCCGAACCCGAUUACCCAUGGGUAUUUCAUACGUGUGCAUCUGUCGUGUUUGUAUGAAUGAGUUGAGGUCGAGCCAACCACCAAGCCCAGCACGGCAGCGCACCAGGCCCCAGGUCCUAGCCCAACAAAGCAACACGACAAGGCAACUAGCAGACUAGCAAAAAACAAAAUCCUAAAAUAACCAGCCAUAUGCUACGCCCUACCCAGGUGACGGUGACGACCAUGGAUUCUUAGGCGCCAACGAACUCAGAUGGUACCAAGGAAGGUGAUCAAACUUCAUUUCUCCAUUUCUUAUAUCGGUCCCGAAGUACUUAUUUCUUUUCUGAUGGAUGGAUGAAUGGAUCAUGGUUCAUGGA